rnacentral:rRNA from 1 species
AUGUCCUUCCUGUCCAUCUGCCGCGCCGUGUCCGUGGCCGGCGCGUUCACGGCGUUCGCGGCCGUCUCGGCGCUGUCCGUGGCGUUCCUGCAGUGGUUCGUGCCCGAGACGAGCGGCAAGACGCUCGAGGAGAUCGAGUUGCUGUUCGGCGAUGCCGGUGGCAGCGGCGGCGAGGUGGAGGUGGAGCUCGGCGACGGGGAACAUCAGGUGCACGAGCGAUGA